GCAAUAUUCCCCACUGCUACCUCCCGUAGGCCCCCCGUGCCCCCGCCCCGCCCGCCGCGCGCGGCGGGCGGGGCGGGGGCACGGGGGGCCUACGGGAGGCAGCAGUGGGGAAUAUUGCACAAUGGGGGAAACCCUGAUCCAGCCAUGCCGCGUGUGUGAAGAAGGCCUUCGGGUUGUAAAGCACUUUCAGUAGGGAGGAAAGGGUAAG
rnacentral:rRNA from 1 species